AAUGAUUUGGGCACUGUCUCAACGAGAGACUCGGUGAAAUUAUAGUACCCGUGAAGAUGCGGGUUACCCGCGACAGGACGGAAAGACCCCAUGGAGCUUUACUGUAGCUUGAUAUUGAGUGUUGGUACCGCUUGUACAGGAUAGGUAGGAGCCGUAGAGAUCGGAACGCUAGUUUCGAUGGAGGCAUUGGUGGGAUACUACCCUAGCUGUAUGAACACUCUAACCCGCGCCACUGAUCGUGGCGGGAGACAGUGUCAGGUAGGCAGUUUGACUGGGGCGGUCGCCUCCUAAAAUGUAACGGAGGCGCCCAAAGGUUCCCUCAGAAUGGUUGGAAAUCAUUCGCAGAGUGUAAAGGUAGAAGGGAGCUUGACUGCGAGACUGACAAGUCGAGCAGGGACGAAAGUCGGGCUUAGUGAUCCGGUGGUUCCGUAUGGAAGGGCCAUCGCUCAACGGAUAAAAGCUACCCUGGGGAUAACAGGCUUAUCUCCCCCAAGAGUCCACAUCGACGGGGAGGUUUGGCACCUCGAUGUCGGCUCAUCGCAUCCUGGGGCUGUAGUCGGUCCCAAGGGUUGGGCUGUUCGCCCAUUAAAGCGGUACGCGAGCUGGGUUCAGAACGUCGUGAGACAGUUCGGUCCCUAUCCGUCGCGGGCGCAGGAAAUUUGAGAGGAGCUGUCCUUAGUACGAGAGGACCGGGAUGGACGUUCCGCUGGUGUACCAGUUGUGCCGCCAGGCGCAUCGCUGGGUAGCUAUGAACGGAAGGGAUAAACGCUGAAAGCAUCUAAGUGUGAAGCCCCCCUCGAGAUGAGAUUUCCCAUUCCUAUAUGGAAGUAAGACCCCUGAAAGAUGAUCAGGUAGAUAGGCUGGAAGUGGAAGUGCAGCGAUGCAUGGAGCGGACCAGUACUAAUCGGUCGAGGACUUAACCAA
rnacentral:rRNA from 1 species